rnacentral:rRNA from 1 species
CCUACGGGGGGCUGCAGUGAGGAAUAUUGGUCAAUGGACGAGAGUCUGAACCAGCCAAGUAGCGUGAAGGAUGACUGCCCUAUGGGUUGUAAACUUCUUUUAUAUGGGAAUAAAAUGUUCCACGUGUGGGAUUUUGUAUGUACCAUAUGAAUAAGGAUCGGCUAACUCCGUGCCAGCAGCCGCGGUAGUACGGAGGAUCCGAGCGUUAUCCGGAUUUAUUGGGUUUAAAGGGAGCGUAGGUGGAUUGUUAAGUCAGUUGUGAAAGUUUGCGGCUCAACCGUAAAAUUGCAGUUGAAACUGGCAGUCUUGAGUACAGUAGAGGUGGGCGGAAUUCGUGGUGUAGCGGUGAAAUGCUUAGAUAUCACGAAGAACUCCGAUUGCGAAGGCAGUUCACUGGACUGCAACUGACACUGAGGCUCGAAAGUGUGGGUAUCAAACAGGAUUAGAUACCCUUGUAGUC